rnacentral:misc_RNA from 1 species
AAGCAUGGCCACGUCACUGCGCUCGCUAGACCUGAGCCAAAAUCAGCUGGACGAGAUACCACUACAGGCCCUCUGAUCGCUCAGGGCUCUCAACUGGCUCAAUUUGCAUAGCAACCAAAUUUCAUCGCUAGGCAACGCAGAUUGGGAUCAUCUCAAAGAUUCGCUGGACAGCCUCUUUCUAGCGGAGAAUGACCUACAAGAGCUUCCCCAGGAAACUCUGAUGUCUCUGCGACAUCUCACUCAGUUGACUCUGGACCACAACAAGUUGCGGGUCGUGGAGUCUGACUCUCUUCCGGAGUCCUUGCAGACGUUGAGUGUACAGCACAACUUCUUAACUCGCUUCCCAGACAUUGAGCCUUUGGGAAAACUCACCAGACUUUACCUCAGGGGCAACUGUUUGCAAGAGUUGCCCGAGCAUACGUUAAAGAGGAAUAGCAAACUAGAAAAACUCGACCUUGGUGAUAACUUUAUCACCAAUAUGAAUAACAUCUUUAACGGUUCUGUGGUGGUUAGAGAUCUAACGUUAGAUUUAAAUAAAAUACAGACAUUAAACGACGACUCUUUUCUAGGAAUAAAUGCAGGUAGGGUUAUUUUGGCCAAUAAUAAAAUAGAAAACAUAUCAUAUGGUGCUUUUAGGGGCUUAGAAAACACUCUGGAAUAUAUCGACUUGGAGAGCAAUAUGUUGAAGACAUUUCCUGCCGCUUUAAGCCGUCUAAAAAGACUGAAGUUUCUCUAUCUACCUUCAAAUAGGAUUAAUGAUAUUGAUGAGUUUGCAUUUAAAAAUAUGUAUAACACAUUAAAAGCAGUAUCCCUUUCAGGAAAUUUACUCGAAGAAAUACCACAGGCUGCUCUAGCCAAAUGUGUCAGAAUGACGCAUUUAAACUUAGGCUAUAACAUGCUCAACGAACUUAAACAUGAAGAUUUUAUGGGGUGGGGAGAAAACAUUGACACUCUACUGUUGCAAAACAAUAGAAUAUUGCGCCUAGGUAAUAACAUAUUUAAUAAUACACCAGUUUUAAGAGAAUUGAGUCUUUCAUACAAUAGAUUAAUUGAGAUUGAGCCAAUGGCGUUCGAGGGUUUAUCGACGAGUUUACAGAGCUUGGAGAUCAGUUUCGGCCUGUACCAGGACGAGUUUCCAGAGGAAGUCUUGAAACCUCUAACAUCACUCGUGUGGCUAGCUAUGGACAACAACAAUCUCAGGCUAAUAUCGAGAGCCUCCUUGAAUGCAUUUAGUAAUCUGCAAUAUCUUAAUCUUGGAUCAAACAGACUGACUGAAUUGCCACAUGGCCUUUUUAAUGGAAGCAUUCAUAAAAAUCUGAGAGAUAUUCGUAUUCCCUAUAACCAUAUCAACAGGAUAGAGCCUUACACGUUCUCCUCGCUGCAUAAUCUCCAGACAAUUGUGUUGACAGGGAAUAACAUUAGAAUGGUCGAUUCCUAUUCGUUUCACGAUUUACCAAACCUGAUGACUGUGAUACUUUCACAAAACAGAAUCAGUACCAUUUACGCGAAAGCGUUUGCAAACAUAACACAGUUAAAGAAAUUGGACUUACAACUUAACGAACUUAGAGAGUUUUCCCUAAACCUCUUUCACAACACUGUGUUCCAACACCCUAUGGCACUAAAUAUUUCAAGAAAUGAAAUUUCUUCGCUGACUUACAACGAAAACUCAGUACCAAUCAAUAUCAAGAUCUUGGAUGCCAGCAGAAACAAACUGAGCGAAGUACCUUCAGAGUUUUUGAGUUUCACUGCAAACUCAUUGUCUCGACUUAAUUUAGGAUACAACAAUAUAAACCAGAUUCAUUCGUCCAGUUUUGCAAAUCUGAGUAGUUUGGAGGUAUUGAAUCUGCAACACAAUGGGAUAGUCAGUGUGAAGAGAAAAGCUUUCUACGGGUUAGACAGUUUACAGAUACUUGACUUAUCUCAUAACCACAUAAAAUCUCUUCAGUUAUCACAAUUUUCUGGUUGUCCUAGUCUCAGAGUAGUUGAUUUGUCUUCAAAUCACAUAAGAACUCUGUCUAGAGACGUGUUCCACAACACGAGAGUGGAAGCGCUUGACCUUUCGAACAAUGAAUUUAUAAUAUUUCCGAGCCAAGUUUUAGGUGACGUUGGGUUUACCCUAAGACAUCUGGACUUGUCCUACAAUCAAAUAGACCGCAUAGACAGCACCAUGUUUCACGAGACUCCGUUUCUGACAAAUUUAAACCUCUGCCGAAACAAACUAAACAUUCUUCCAGAUAACGUCUUCACCAGCCUCGACAAUCUCCUUAACUUACAACUAUGUCGUAACUCACUUACAGCAAACUUCAAAGAACUUCUCCAUUAUAUUCCUAAACUAAGGAGUCUAGACCUUUCAUUUACAGGAUUGUCGAUCGUACCGUCAUUCCCUCUUGCAAAACUUACCCAUUUAAACUUGACGGGAAACUAUUUGGAAACUAUACCUCCUAGUUCUUUUGAAGGACUUCCAUCACUAAAAUCUCUUGUUGUGAAAGCAAACCGACUCUCCAGUCUCCCGUCAACUUCGUGGGUGAAGAUUCCUCUCCUGAAACAUCUAGACAUCUCAUCAAAUCCAAUAAAGGUGUUAACAUCUGACAGUUUCCAAGGCUUGGAACGACUGGAAUCUCUAGAGAUGACAGGUCUGUCGCGUCUGGAGAGGUGGGAUGCUGGAAGCCUGUCCGGUCUACGUUGUCUCACCUCCCUGCGCCUGCAGAGCUGACCUUGGCUCGGCCACCAACGGUUCCGUCUGGCCACAGUACUCCAGGGAACAACUUCGCUUAGGAAGCUUUCCCUCUGGAUGUCUGAUCGCACUUUGUCAGACCAAUUGCACGGGCUGACACUGCCCAGACUCCGCCACCUCCAGAUCACUGGCCGGGGUCUGCUCUCUGUGGAGGCUGAGGCCCUGAGCAGUCUGCA